rnacentral:tRNA from 1 species
GGACAGGUAGCUCAGUUAGUUAGAGCACCAUUCUAGAAUACGGGAGGUCCUAGGUUCAAUCCCUGGCCAGUCCA